UACGUAGGGACCAAGCGUUGUUCGGAUUUACUGGGCGUAAAGGGCGCGUAGGCGGCAAUUCAAGUCAUCUGUGAAAUCUCCGGGCUUAACUCGGAAUGGUCAGGUGAUACUGCUUUGCUAGAGUGCAGAAGGGGCAAUCGGAAUUCUUGGUGUAGCGGUGAAAUGCGUAGAUAUCAAGAGGAACACCUGAGGUGAAGACGGGUUGCUGGGCUGACACUGACACUGAGGCGCGAAAGCUAGGGGAGCAAACGGG
rnacentral:rRNA from 1 species